ACUCAAAGGAAUAGACGGGGGCCCGCACAAGCAGUGGAGCAUGUGGUUUAAUUCGAUGCAACGCGAAGAACCUUACCCAGGCUCGAAAUGUAGAGGACAGCUCCUGAAAGGGAGUCUCCCGCAAGGGUCUCUAUAUAGGUGCUGCAUGGCUGUCGUCAGCUCGUGCCGUGAGGUGUUGGGUUAAGUCCCGCAACGAGCGCAACCCUUAUCACUAGUUGCCAGCAAUUCGGUUGGGAACUCUAGUGAGACUGCCUAGGUUAACUAGGAGGAAGGUGAGGAUGACGUCAAGUCCGCAUGGCCUUUAUGUCUGGGGCCACACACGUGCUACAAUGGCCGGUACAGAAGGCAGCAAGACCGCAAGGUGGAGCAAAUCCGUAAAGCCGGUCUCAGUUCGGAUUGUAGUCUGCAACUCGACUACAUGAAGUUGGAAUUGCUAGUAAUGACGUGUCAGCUACAACGUCGUGAAUACGUUCCCGGGCCUUGUACACACCGCCCGU
rnacentral:rRNA from 1 species